rnacentral:rRNA from 1 species
UACGAAGGGUGCUAGCGUUGUUCGGAAUUACUGGGCGUAAAGCGCGCGCAGGCGGCUAUCCAAGUCAGUGGUGAAAGCCCGGAGCUCAACUCCGGAACUGCCAUUGAAACUGUUUAGCUUGAGGAUGAGAGAGGUGAGUGGAAUUCCCAGUGUAGAGGUGAAAUUCGUAGAUAUUGGGAAGAACACCGGUGGCGAAGGCGGCGACCUGGUCCGUGACUGACGCUGAGGCGCGAAAGCGUGGGGAGCAAACAGG